AUUGAACGCUGGCGGCAGGCUUAACACAUGCAAGUCGAACGCAUCGCAAGAUGAGUGGCAGACGGGUGAGUAACGCGUGGGAACAUACCCUUUUCUACGGAAUAGCUCUGGGAAACUGGAAUUAAUACCGUAUACGCCCUACGGGGGAAAGAUUUAUCGGGGAAGGAUUGGCCCGCGUUGGAUUAGCUAGUUGGUGGGGUAAAGGCCUACCAAGGCGACGAUCCAUAGCUGGUCUGAGAGGAUGAUCAGCCACAUUGGGAUUGAGACACGGCCCAAACUCCUACGGGAGGCAGCAGUGGGGAAUAUUGGACAAUGGGCGCAAGCCUGAUCCAGCCAUGCCGCGUGAGUGAUGAAGGCCUUAGGGUUGUAAAGCUCUUUCACCGAUGAAGAUAAUGACGGUAGUCGGAGAAGAAGCCCCGGCUAACUUCGUGCCAGCAGCCGCCGUAA
rnacentral:rRNA from 1 species